UGUGCUUACCCAUUCCUCGCCGUUCAACUCCUAUUCUGGUCAUCGGCCAUUGUCUGGCUUGCUUCUUUGUCAAUCAUGGAUCACCUUCCUUUCGAUUUGUCUCAUCGGCACAAGACUGCUCCACCGUUCAACUCUAGCUUCAGCCAAUCAAUCAUUGUGCGAUCCUCUAUCCUCCAUUCUCGGUCGUUGGUUCACUUCAUCGAUCCUUCUUUGUACUAGUUCAGUUCUCAUCAUUGGCGCUACUCUAAUACUGGCUAGCACUCCUUGUUGGCGAUUUGCAAGAUUUGGUCAUUCUCCUUCACGACAUUAUUUUUUCAUUUCUACAUUUAUUGCUCUUGAUUUUGGUCCCUCGCAAGUACCUCUAGAACUUGGUACCUCUACAGAGAAUGUAAGUGUAGGUCUCCGGUGC
rnacentral:misc_RNA from 1 species